rnacentral:lncRNA from 1 species
CAGGUUUGUACUUUAGACAUACAAACUUCAUGUUGUAAUGGUUAAACUAUUUUAACCCAAGUGGUGUUCUCUGAUUGCAAAAUUGUCAGGCAUUACUGUUAGAUAAAGUGACAUAAUGAAAAGGCAGUCCAAAAGUUGAGAUUAUGGCUAGAAAUAGGAAAAUUAUGGCUGACAAACUAUUUUCUUUUUAACAGGUCAAAUAAGUGUGUCUGCAAUAUCUAUGUUUUGAACUGCCCAAACGUUCCACUCGGCAAUUGAAUUGAAUUGAAACAAUCAGUAGAAUUUAGCCUGCCAUUAUUUUUUUUUGACUUGGCAGCUAGUUCAGAAUUAUUUUUGCUUGUCAUAUUUCUGCUUUUGGUCACUAUUUUGAGCCUUGUUAUUGUACUGUUUAUAUUUAUUAGUAGUCUUGGUAUUUAGCUUUCUCUCUUUCC